GCAGCAUGGUCUUAGCUUGCUAAGGCCGAUGGCGACCGGCGCACGGGUGAGUAACACGUAUCCAACCUGCCGUCUACUCUUGGACAGCCUUCUGAAAGGAAGAUUAAUACAAGAUGGCAUCAUGAGUCCGCAUGCUCACAUGAUUAAAGGUAUUCCGGUAGACGAUGGGGAUGCGUUCCAUUAGAUAGUAGGCGGGGUAACGGCCCACCUAGUCUUCGAUGGAUAGGGGUUCUGAGAGGAAGGUCCCCCACAUUGGAACUGAGACACGGUCCAAACUCCUACGGGAGGCAGCAGUGAGGAAUAUUGGUCAAUGGGCGAGAGCCUGAACCAGCCAAGUAGCGUGAAGGAUGACUGCCCUAUGGGUCGUAAACUCCUUUUAUAAAGGAAUAAAGUCGGGUAUGGAUACCCGUUUGCAUGUACUUUAUGAAUAAGGAUCGGCUAACUCCGUGCCAGCAGCCGCGGUAAUACGGAGGAUCCGAGCGUUAUCCGGAUUUAUUGGGUUUAAAGGGAGCGUAGAUGGAUGUUUAAGUCAGUUGUGAAAGUUUGCGGCUCAACCGUAAAAUUGCAGUUGAUACUGGAUAUCUUGAGUGCAGUUGAGGCAGGCGGAAUUCGUGGUGUAGCGGUGAAAUGCUUAGAUAUCACGAAGAACUCCGAUUGCGAAGGCAGCCUGCUAAGCUGCAACUGACAUUGAGGCUCG
rnacentral:rRNA from 1 species